rnacentral:pre_miRNA from 1 species
GAUAUACUUCCUCGGUCUUAAAUUAUUGUUUUACAUUUGUCUAGAUAUGAAUGCAUCUAGUCAUGUUUUAAUACUUAGAUACAUUCAUUUUUAGACAAACCUAAAACAAAAAAUUUGGAACGGAGGAAGUAUUUU